rnacentral:tRNA from 1 species
GCCAUCAUGGUGUAAUGGUCAGCACACUCGGCGCGUGUUCAAGAAGUCUGAGGUUCAAAUCCCGGCGAGGGCA